CUUGACCUCCCAAAGUGCUGGGAUUACACGCGUGAGCCACUGCACUGGACUGGAGUUCCUUUUUGAAGGAGUUUGUGAGGGAGGGGCAGGAGCACACCCCAGCUAGAGGGAAUGGCAUGGGCAGGAGAGCAGAGGGCAGUUGGUGGCUUAGUCCUGGUAUGUGAUGUGCGUGGCAGGAGUGGGGCAGGGGGAGUCGGGGGGACAGCCAGGCCAAGUGAGGGCUCUUUGGCCCUCAGGCCCCACUGGCUUCCUGCUCUCUGCAGUUCCCUCCAAAGCCCCUCUCCUUGGGGCAUCUGAGGAGCCAGUUAGGGUUUGGGUAGGGGUCACCAGGGGACUCACAGCCCAGAGCACCCCACGUUGGUGCUCCACAAUCUGUGCUCUCCUGUCCCCUGAGCACCUGCCCUGACCCUUGCCCUUGGCUGGAGGCGGGGGCAGUGGGGCUCAGCGCUGCGUUCCUGGAGGCCUGGGGACAGGGUCGGGAGAGUCACAUCAAGGGAGCUGGCAACUUCUCCCUUCUGGGCCUCCCUCGCUUUUUCUAGACAAUCAUGGGGUGGGAGCCAGAGACGGCUGAAGCCCCUUCUGGACUGGACUCCCCAUUUCAGACAAAUGACUUGGCUCCCCAAAUGGGUUCUGCUUCCCAAGAAGCAGAGCCUGAAACAAGGAUCUGAUUGCACAGAGUUCAUUUGGGAGGGAGAACGCAGGGUGCCUAGGAGCAGGUGCCACCAUCGGCAGCUGGGGCCCAGGCCUCCAGGGAGUCCCGGGACACGUGUAACACGUGUCUUCAGAAUCUUCCUGUCUGAGGGAGAGGAGGUUGGAGUCUUCAGCCCCCAACUCCUGUCUUUUGUUGAGGGUUGCUCUGGGGGGCAUGAACUUCCCAGGGUUUCUGGCCAGCUCCACCUUGGGGGCAGCCUCCUCCUGCAGCCAGGAAGGUAUUCAAGCAGAGAGUGGCAGGGGCUCGCCUCGGCAAGAGCGCAGCUGUGCGUAGGGAACAGUGCUUCCAAAUGGAAGCUGUCAUGGAGAGGGCGCUCCUCACACACGGAGACCUGCAGGGGCACCGGUGGCACAUCCUGGGUCACACCACCAGUGAGCAACAGGCCACACUGAGAAGCUGGGUCCCCUGACUCGUCAGCAGGGCUCCUCCUGCCCUGGUGUUUCUCUUCAUCUCUCCCGCGUGUCGUCUGGGUCCGCAUCUGCCGUGUUCAUCCCCCUCACGUGGCUUAGUAAUAGCACAUUGGCAGCACAUAUGGAUGUCUUGG